rnacentral:rRNA from 1 species
ACGCUGGCGGCAGGCCUAACACAUGCAAGUCGAGCGGUAGGGAGAAGCUUGCUUCUCUUGAGAGCGGCGGACGGGUGAGUAAUGCCUAGGAAUCUGCCUGGUAGUGGGGGAUAACGCUCGGAAACGGACGCUAAUACCGCAUACGUCCUACGGGAGAAAGCAGGGGACCUUCGGGCCUUGCGCUAUCAGAUGAGCCUAGGUCGGAUUAGCUAGUUGGUGAGGUAAUGGCUCACCAAGGCGACGAUCCGUAACUGGUCUGAGAGGAUGAUCAGUCACACUGGAACUGAGACACGGUCCAGACUCCUACGGGAGGCAGCAGUGGGGAAUAUUGGACAAUGGGCGAAAGCCUGAUCCAGCCAUGCCGCGUGUGUGAAGAAGGUCUUCGGAUUGUAAAGCACUUUAAGUUGGGAGGAAGGGCAGUAAAUUAAUACUUUGCUGUUUUGACGUUACCGACAGAAUAAGCACCGGCUAACUCUGUGCCAGCAGCCGCGGUAAUACAGAGGGUGCAAGCGUUAAUCGGAAUUACUGGGCGUAAAGCGCGCGUAGGUGGUUCGUUAAGUUGGAUGUGAAAUCCCCGGGCUCAACCUGGGAACUGCAUUCAAAACUGUCGAGCUAGAGUAUGGUAGAGGGUGGUGGAAUUUCCUGUGUAGCGGUGAAAUGCGUAGAUAUAGGAAGGAACACCAGUGGCGAAGGCGACCACCUGGACUGAUACUGACACUGAGGUGCGAAAGCGUGGGGAGCAAAC